rnacentral:rRNA from 1 species
AUUGAACGCUGGCGGCAGGCCUAACACAUGCAAGUCGAACGAGUGGCAGACGGGUGAGUAAUGUCUGGGAAACUGCCUGAUGGAGGGGGAUAAUUACUGGAAACGGUAGCUAAUACCGCCUACCAUCGGAUGUGCCCAGAUGGGAUUAGCUAGUAGGUGGGGUAAAGGCUCACCUAGGCGACGAUCCCUAGCUGGUCUGAGAGGAGGACCAGUCACACUGGAACUGAGACACGGGCCAGACUCCGAAGUGAGGCAGCAGUGGGGAAUAUUGCACAAUGGGCGAAAGCCGGAUGCAGCCAUGCCGCGUGUGUGAAGAAGGCCUUCGGGUUGUAAAGUACUUUCAGCGGGGAGGCGUUACCCGCAGAAGAAGCACAGGCUAACUCCGUGCCAGCAGCCGCGGAAAUUC